AGAGAAAUAGCUCAAUUGGUAGAGUGCUUGCCAAGCACGCAAGAGGCCCUGAGUUCAAAUCUCAGCUCUG
rnacentral:tRNA from 1 species